GCUUGCAAGAGGAGCCGCUUCUCAAGUGUCAGCCAAGGGGAACGAAAUUCUGUGCAAAUCAAUUAUUGCAGGCUUUAAAAGAAGAAGAAGAAGAAGAAGAAGAAGAGGCCAACACCCACCGUCAGCCAAGCCAGCUCACCAACCCCACCCCGUCUUUCCCCUCCUUUCCUCGGCCCAUCACUUUGCUGGCUACCCAUCCAUCUAACUCUCCAGCCAACCAACUGGCCUCCUUCUUCUUUUUCAAAAUCCGCUCGUUCCCGUCAAGCCUGUAGACCCAGGACUACCUGAUCACCUGUAAUCCAGUUGCUGGGCUUGUGUGUUCUUGGAUUCAACCAAAAUCUGCUAGUGACACUACCUAUCUGGAAGCAAAUAUUGGGGCUCCCUCUGCCGCCAGGCUCUUCAGUCAACGUGCCUGAACCCGCCCUUCCACACAGAGUGGGGGACGCCAGUUUCUCAGCUAACAAAGCUUGGCUGGUUGGAAGGACGGGGGGCGUCGGGUCCAGCUCGCCUGUCGAUAGGCUGGCCUAACCAAUCGGGACUGGAAGGAUUCCUCUCUCGGCCGGCCCCUGACCGGACGUCUGG